GGCAAUGCGGGCGGCUAUACAUGCAAGUCGAACGGUCCGCAAGGAUAGUGGCAAACGGGUGCGUAACGCGUAAGCAACCUGCCCCAAACCGGGGGAUAGCCUGGCGAAAGCCGGGGUAAACCCGCAUGGUCCCCUUCUGCUUCAUGGCAGGUGGGGUAAACAUUUAUGGGUUUGGGAGGGGCUUGCGUCUGAUUAGUUAGUUGGCGGGGUAAAGGCCCACCAAGACAGUGAUCAGUAGGGGUUCUGAGAGGAUUGGCCCCCACAUGGGUACUGAGAUACGGACCCAACUCCUACGGGAGGCAGCAGUAGGGAAUAUUGGGCAAUGGGCGCAAGCCUGACCCAGCCAUGCCGCGUGCAGGAUGAAGGCGCUCAGCGUCGUAAACUGCUUUUAUCUACGAAGAACGACAGAGAUGAGUCUUUGUGUGACGGUAGUAGAGGAAUAAGCACCGGCUAACUCCGUGCCAGCAGCCGCGGUAAUACGGAGGGUGCAAGCGUUGUCCGGAUUUAUUGGGUUUAAAGGGUGCGUAGGUGGCGUCUUAAGUCUGGUUUGAAAGCAGGCGGCUCAACCGUCUGAUGUGGCUGGAAACUGGGGCGCUUGAAUGGGUUGGCGGUAGCCGGAACGGGUCAUGUAGCGGUGAAAUGCAUAGAUAUGACCCAGAACACCGAUUGCGAAGGCAGGCUACUACGACUUAAUUGACACUGAGGCACGAGAGCAUGGGUAGCGAACAGGAUUAGAUACCCUGGUAGUCCAUGCCGUAAACGAUGAUUACUGGCUGUGUGUGUUCUAACAUGCGUGGCUGAGCGAAAGCGUUAAGUAAUCCACCUGGGGAGUACGCUGGCAACAGUGAAACUCAAAGGAAUUGACGG
rnacentral:rRNA from 1 species